rnacentral:tRNA from 2 species
AAGGUUUUAAGUUAAAAAAACUAGUAGCCUUCAAAGUUCCAAAUAAGAGAUUAACCUCUUAAACCUUA